GAUGAACGCUGACAGAAUGCUUAACACAUGCAAGUCUUUGGCGAAGCUGUGCUUGCACAGCCUAGCCAAGGCGGACGGGUGAGUAACGCGUAAGGAACUUGCCCUGCAGUCAGGGAUAACAGACGGAAACGACUGCUAAGACCUGGUAAAGUCAGGCGGACUCAUGUCCAGCCUGAUGAAAAGAGAUGCUGCAGGAGAGCCUUGCGUCCUAUUAGCUUGUUGGUGGGGUAACGGCCCACCAAGGCGAUGAUAGGUAGCCGGCCUGAGAGGGUGGACGGCCACAAGGGGACUGAGAUACGGCCCUUACUCCUACGGGAGGCAGCAGUGGGGAAUAUUGGACAAUGGGGGCAACCCUGAUCCAGCAAUUCUGUGUGCACGAUGAAGGUUUUCGGAUUGUAAAGUGCUUUCAGCAGGGAAGAAAAAAAUGACGGUACCUGCAGAAGAAGCGACGGCUAAAUACGUG
rnacentral:rRNA from 1 species